GAUGCUCUCGGCUGGCAGGUGGCGGAGAUUGUACCGGAAGACGCUUCGUGGGUUUGAGGAGUUCAGUGACUGCUAUUGAACCACCAAAAGUCCAUUAUGAAACUGUAUUGCCUGUCAGGGCACCCAACCUUACCAUGCAAUGUGCUCAAAUUCAAAUCAACCACCAUUAUGUUGGACUGCGGACUGGACAUGACUUCUACCCUCAAUUUCCUUCCUUUGCCACUUGUUCAAAGUCCCAGGUUGUCCAAUCUUCCUGGCUGGUCCCUGAAGGAUGGAAAUGCUUUCUUGGACAAGGUAAUAUCUAAGACUACAAACUAAAGCCUAUCUACACCCAGUGGAAAGCUAUCUUUUCAUACCAGAGCCACCGUAUAGUAGUGUGACUGAUGGCUUUUUUUUUUUCCUCUCUGAAAAACCCCAAAAUCUAUGCUAGGGUCUUCAGAACUUGGUAACUACUGUUUUUAAGCAUGUUUUUAGAGAAUGUCACUGUUCUGAUUCA
rnacentral:sRNA from 1 species